GACGUAGGGCGCGAGCGUUGUCCGGAUUUAUUGGGCGUAAAGAGCUCGUAGGCGGCUUGUCGCGUCGUCCGUGAAAACCCACAGCUCAACUGUGGGCUUGCGGUCGAUACGGGCAGGCUAGAGUUCGGUAGGGGAGACUGGAAUUCCUGGUGUAGCGGUGAAAUGCGCAGAUAUCAGGAGGAACACCGGUGGCGAAGGCGGGUCUCUGGGCCGAAAUUGACGCUGAGGAGCGAAAGCGUGGGGAGCAAACAGG
rnacentral:rRNA from 1 species